rnacentral:rRNA from 1 species
GAUGAACGCUGGCGGCGUGCUUAACACAUGCAAGUCGAACGAUGAAGCCCAGCUUGCUGGGUGGAUCAGUGGCGAACGGGUGAGUAACACGUGAGUAACCUGCCCUUAACUCUGGGAUAAGCCUGGGAAACUGGGUCUAAUACCGGAUAGGAGCGCCUACCGCAUGGUGGGUGUUGGAAAGAUUUAUCGGUUUUGGAUGGACUCGCGGCCUAUCAGCUUGUUGUUGAGGUAAUGGCUCACCAAGGCGACGACGGGUAGCCGGCCUGAGAGGGUGACCGGCCACACUGGGACUGAGACACGGCCCAGACUCCUACGGGAGGCAGCAGUGGGGAAUAUUGCACAAUGGGCGAAAGCCUGAUGCAGCGACGCCGCGUGAGGGAUGACGGCCUUCGGGUUGUAAACCUCUUUCAGUAGGGAAGAAGCGAAAGUGACGGUACCUGCAGAAGAAGCACCGGCUAACUACGUG